rnacentral:miRNA from 1 species
UUAUUAGGUUGCUGCAAAAGUAAUUGCAGUUUUUGCAUUACUUUAUUACAAAAAUCACAGUUACUUUUGCACCAACCUAAUA